rnacentral:lncRNA from 1 species
CGGUCACCUGUGUCAAUUCACGUGCACACUGACUAGACUGACUACAUUGCUGUUGUAUUUAAAUCUUUCGGCCAAUGAAAUGAGACGUUACAAGUUGUUUGUUUAUGAUACGCCAGAAUGUUAUCAAUGAACUAUCAAAUGCUAAACUUCACUGCAUAUCACUGUAAGGUAUGCAAACACGCACGUGCGUUUGAUGGAUGCUUCAUAAAAACACUAGCUGAGUUUUGUUAUUAUCAUAACUUUUCCUAAGGCCGAGAAAAAAAAGAUCCGUGUUUCCGGUAACCCGACCGACCCUGUUUUUUAGCCCCGACCCUAACUUUUUUAUUGGAUCUUCCAAAAAAAAAAAAAAAAAAAUUUAUCAACCGACCCUGUUUUUGACACAGGCUUCUGAUAGAUGACAUAAUAUUUUUUCUCUCUUGCUUCCUCUUGCAUAGAAAGCCAGUAAAACAUUUUAUUAAUGUCAAAAGGUAUUCCAAAUAGGUUAAAAUCCAAGAAAUUUGCACAGCAGGUGCUUCAAAAACAUUGCAAAUGGCACACUUCCGGUUUUUGAAACUAAUUACGGAUCCGGACUUGGAAAAAACAUGAUAAUUUUUCCGGAUUUCAUUUACGAUGUCAAAAAAAAAAUAAAAAAUAAAAAAAUAAGGAAUUCCGACCUACCGACCCUAUUUUUCAAAAUGAUGUUACCAGAAACACAUAUCUUUUUUUUUUAGGCCUAAGCUAUCAAAAAGAAGAUAAAAACAUGCGGACAUUUACUUUCGUUUUAAAUCAUUGUAUGUUAUGAUAAGUCCCGAGCAAUUCGAAAAAAAUAUGACAGCAUGACACACGCUAAUUGGAUAAACGCCGAGAAGAUCGAAAUGUUUUUAUAUUCACGUGUGCCUUUUAAGCAACGGAAAAUUCCAACAGGGACCCAUUUCAACUACUUGAUGCAGGGCUCUAUUUUUAGAACGAUAGGACAUUUCAAAUUAUAAAUAUAAUAAAAUAGAUUUACGCUACGACUGUAAUCAGUUUAGGGUAAAUAACGCAAACGAUAGUGAGUAAAAGCGUUAAGAACUCAUUGUUUUGGCAUAUAAUUGGGUUUUCCUUUGAAUUAAUUGGGUUAUUGAACCCUGCAAUGGGCAAUUGCAUUGAGUUUUUAAUUAUUUUUAUUGCGUGAUCACGC